AAGUCGUAACAAGGUUUCCGUAGGUGAACCUGCGGAAGGAUCAUUAUCACACUACUGUCUUGUGCUACUCACGUACACAUUUCGGUUAAACAACACACACGCGCUCCCUUUUUUUCCACACCUAACAACCCAACCUUAUGCAAUGACAAUGAACAAGACAUACUAGUGUAGCAGAUGUUCGCAUCUCUUCAUUUGUGUGCUCUAUCUUUAUGUAACACAGUGUAUCUGAUACACCUGUACAAAUACAACUGUUAACAAUGGAUAUCUUGGUUCUC
rnacentral:misc_RNA from 1 species